AUUGAACGCUGGCGGCAGGCCUAACACAUGCAAGUCGAGCGGAUGAAGGGAGCUUGCUCCUGGAUUCAGCGGCGGACGGGUGAGUAAUGCCUAGGAAUCUGCCUGGUAGUGGGGGAUAACGUCCGGAAACGGGCGCUAAUACCGCAUACGUCCUGAGGGAGAAAGUGGGGGAUCUUCGGACCUCACGCUAUCAGAUGAGCCUAGGUCGGAUUAGCUAGUUGGUGGGGUAAAGGCCUACCAAGGCGACGAUCCGUAACUGGUCUGAGAGGAUGAUCAGUCACACUGGAACUGAGACACGGUCCAGACUCCUACGGGAGGCAGCAGUGGGGAAUAUUGGACGAUGGGCGAAAGCCUGAUCCAGCCAUGCCGCGUAUGUGAAGAAGGUCUUCGGAUUGUAAAGCACUUUAAGUUGGGAGGAAGGGCAGUAAGUUAAUACCUUGCUGUUUUGACGUUACCAACAGAAUAAGCACCGGCUAACUUCGUG
rnacentral:rRNA from 1 species